GACCUGAUAGCACAAGGCUGUGCAUCCGCUAUCAUUGGGUAUGACAUGAGGUAGAAGUUGAAGCGGAGGAUCCUGGUUCGAGUCCGGGUCAGGUCC